GUAAUUUUCUUUUUUUUUUUUUUUUUAAAUUGGAAGGAUACAGAGAAGAUUAGCACGGCCCCUGUGCCAGGGUGACAUGUGAAUUUGUGAAGCAUUCCGCAUUUUU